GUUUAGAAUAGGAAAGAAGCCGACAGAAGUGCGCCACCUAGAAGACACCACCUGCAAACAAAUACAAUGGGCCAAAUCUACUGCUAAAAUAUAUAAAAGAUUUCACCUAGUCCAUAUACUGUAGCUGUGGAUGAAUGGAGCUCUCCAUAUUAUGCUUUACGAGAUCGCCAAGGUAAUGCUAUCGUGGUCGCUGCCUGUGAUAU